CUGAUGGGCUGCCGUCUGUGGGGUCGCACAGAAUCAGACACGACUGAAGCGACUUAGCAGUAGCAGCAGCAGGUCAGCAUCGGUCAUGGAUGCUGAGACCGUUGGUUGACAGUCUGAGGGGAAUGGGAUAUUUACAUUGUCUCAAGGUCUUCCCCAUAGUGUUAAUCACAGGGUAAAAAUGACAGUUCUGUAGUGAAGAAACCUGGGGAUUUAACAAUGAAGGAAUCAAAGCUUCUGUCACGGAUCAUGGGCCUCACUGGCAUGCAGGUCCCGCCAUGAUGCCUCCUACCGAGCAUCUCUGCUCAGAUGCAUAACCCGUGUCCGAUUCAAAUCCAGGGGCGACUGGCCUGAAGUCUGCAGAGGUGCCAGUAUCACAAAAGACCAGGGAGGUGGAAGAAGUGUUCUAGAAUAAAUUAGAUUCGGAAGACAGGACCACUGUGUGCCACACAUGAGUUCUGGAUCAGGAGAAUGUUCUUGUCUUUGAAAAAAUGCAUGAUGAAGGAUUUGGGAGUGAAGAAGCAGGAGAUUGUCACCUAACCCUCAAAAGGUUCAGAAAGAAUGUGAUUAUAUAUUAUAUAUGAAAUACAUAAAAUGUGUUAUAUGUAAUAUAAAGGGAAUGAUAAAGUGUUAAACUUGUGAAUCUGAAUAAAGAGUAUAUGGAAGGUUUUUGUACUGUU